rnacentral:rRNA from 1 species
UACAGAGGUCCCAAGCGUUGUUCGGAUUUACUGGGCGUAAAGCGCGUGUAGGCGGUCCGGUAAGUCGGCUGUGAAAGUCCAGGGCUCAACCCUGGGAUGCCGGUCGAUACUGCCGGACUAGAGUUCGGAAGAGGCGAGUGGAAUUCCCGGUGUAGCGGUGAAAUGCGCAGAUAUCGGGAGGAACACCAAUGGCGAAGGCAGCUCGCUGGGACGUUACUGACGCUGAGGAGCGAAAGCGUGGGGAGCGAACAGG